rnacentral:misc_RNA from 1 species
GAUGAAGAACGCAGUGAAAUGCGAUAAGUAAUGUGAAUUGCAGAAUUCAGUGAAUCAUCGAAUCUUUGAACGCACAUUGCGCCCUCUGGUAUUCCGGGGGGCAUGCCUGUUCGAGCGUCAUUACAACCCUCAAGCUCUGCUUGGUAUUGGGCUCUGCCGGUCCUGGCAGGCCUCAAAGUCAGUGGCGGUGCCAUCCGGCUCCAAGCGUAGUAAUUCUUCUCGCUUCGGAGGCCGCGGUGCGUGCUAGCCAGCAACCCCCAAUUUUUUUCAGGUUGACCUCCGAUCAGGUAGGGAUACCCGCUGAACUUAAGCAUAUCAAUAAGCGGAGGA